rnacentral:snRNA from 1 species
AGCUUUGCGCAGUGGCAGUAUCAAAGCCAAUGAGGUUUAUCUGAAGCAUGAUUAUUGCUAAUUGAAAACUUUUCCCAAUACCCCUCCAUGACAACUUGCAAGAUAGUUGGCAUUGGCAAUUUUUGACGGUCCCUAUGGGA